rnacentral:rRNA from 1 species
CGCAAGGCUGAAACUUAAAGGAAUUGGCGGGGGAGCACUGCAACGGGAGGAGCGUGCGGUUUAAUUGGAUUCAACGCCGGAAAACUCACCAAGGCCGACGGACAAAUGAAGAUCAACGUAACGAGUUUAUUGGAUUGUCCGAGAGGUGGUGCAUGGCCGUCGUCAGUUCGUACUGUAAAGCGUUCUGUUAAGUCAGAUAACGAACGAGACCCGCAUCUCUAUUUGCGACCCUCAUGUCCGCAUGAGGCGCACCAUAGAGAGACCGCUGGUGUGAAACCAGAGGAAGGCGCGGGCAACGACAGGUCAGUAUGCCCCGAAUGUCUUGGGCUACACGCGCGCUACAAAGGACAGGACAAUGGGAAGCCACGCCGAGAGGCGGCGCUACCCCGAAACCUGUUCAUAGUUCGGAUCGAGGGCUGUAACUCGCCCUCGUGAAGCUGGAUUCCGUAGUAAUCGUGUUUCAACAUAGCACGGUGAAUAUGCCCCUGCUCCUUGCACACACCGCCCGUCAAACCAUCUUAGUUGGGGAUGGAUGAGGCUGCGUUUUAAUGGCGUAUUCGAGUCUGUCUUCGACAAGGAGGGUUAAGUCGUAACAAGGUAUCUGUAGGGGAACCUGCAGAUGGAUCACCUCCUAA